CCUACGGGCGGCAGCAGUGGGGAAUAUUGGACAAUGGGGGGAACCCUGAUCCAGCCAUGCCGCGUGUGUGAAGAAGGCCCUCGGGUUGUAAAGCACUUUCAGUGAGGAAGAACGCCUGGUGGUUAAUACCCAUCAGGAAAGACAUCACUCACAGAAGAAGCACCGGCUAACUCCGUGCCAGCAGCCGCGGUAAUACGGAGGGUGCGAGCGUUAAUCGGAAUUACUGGGCGUAAAGCGCGCGUAGGUGGCUUGAUAAGCCGGUUGUGAAAGCCCCGGGCUCAACCUGGGAACGGCAUCCGGAACUGUCGAGCUAGAGUGCAGGAGAGGAAGGUAGAAUUCCCGGUGUAGCGGUGAAAUGCGUAGAGAUCGGGAGGAAUACCAGUGGCGAAGGCGGCCUUCUGGACUGAAACUGACACUGAGGUGCGAAAGCGUGGGUAGCAAACAGGAUUAGAUACCCCUGUAGUC
rnacentral:rRNA from 1 species